AGUGAACGCUGGCGGUAGGCCUAACACAUGCAAGUCGAACGGCAGCACAGUAAGAGCUUGCUCUUACGGGUGGCGAGUGGCGGACGGGUGAGGAAUACAUCGGAAUCUACUUUUUCGUGGGGGAUAACGUAGGGAAACUUACGCUAAUACCGCAUACGACAUACGGGUGAAAGCAGGGGAUCUUCGGACCUUGCGCGAUUGAAUGAGCCGAUGUCGGAUUAGCUAGUUGGCGGGGUAAAGGCCCACCCAGGCGACGAUCCGUAGCUGGUCUGAGAGGAUGAUCAGCCACACUGGAACGGAGACACGGUCCAGACUCCGACGGGAGGCAGCAGUUGGGAAUAUUGGACAAUGGGCGCAAGCCUGAUCCAGCCAUACCGCGUGGGUGAAGAAGGCCUUCGGGUUGUAAAGCCCUUUUGUUGGGAAAGAAAAGCAGCAGGUUAAUACCCCGCUGUUCUGACGGUACCCAAAGAAUAAGCACCGGCUAACUUCGUG
rnacentral:rRNA from 1 species